GUUUUCGUCGGCAAAUCUCCCUGGGAGUAACUCUUCUUCUCGACAUGCUGGCUUUCUCUUGAAAUUUUCUCUACUUCGAAUUGAUAGCGCGCGUCAAUUUGAAUAGUCUUGAUCAUCAAGAUGUAUCGACUCGUUCGUACGCACAUCUGAUAAAAACAAGCGUCUGGGUGACCGAGACGGAAGAAAUCGAAAGUUUUCAGGUACUAUUUUAAACAAAACGAAAUUAGUUUAGCAUGCUGAUACGCAUUUUCUUUAAACAAUUUUUUUAUUUUACAAAAGGAUUUUGUUAUUUUAGAUAAAUAGUUUUAUAAACUGGUGUUAUUAUCAAUCUAACUUAAGUAUUCAAAGUAUUCGGUUUACAACUUUUAUAAUUCUUCGCCCCGUGUUUACUUUCGGUUUCAUUUUGGAACGUGAGACAGUUGCUUGCAAGUUCAGCUAGUAGUUGGUGACUGCGAGGCAUUCAAGUACAUAUUUUAUAAACAUUUAAAAUGGACGGUUCUUUGCGAGACGAUGGCAAUAGUGACAAGCAUUUAGAAAAAAGAGUAGACAAACUUGGAGAGCUAGGCCUAGAUCAUACUCUGAAAAGAAAAAUCCACCAAAGAAAGCAAAGUGUCCAGCUGUCAGCUGAUGUACAAGAAUUUUGAGAAGCCCAGUCACAAGUUACAUCAGAUGAUGGCGAUUCAAUAAAUUAUUAUAUUGAAGAACGUAUGGAAGAACCUGCGAAUGUUGAGGCGGUACAACGAUUAAUCGAAGAGGCAAUCUUUUACAGUGAAGAUGAUGACAGUGAUUUAAUUUCCAAUGAGAAAUGGCAUGAUCUAAUGGACUUUCCAGAAAUGGUAGCUGAUGAUUGAAUUUUUGUAUUGUAAAUAAAAUUGUAUAAAAUUUAACCUGCA